CCACAAUGCAUCACAAUCCCUCCUCUCUGUCCUGGAGAUAAUUGGGAAGUAAUCCAAUUAUCUCCAAGGACAGAGGCAAAACUCCAUUAACCACAUGGUUACAAUAAAACACUAAAAUACAAUAAAAUACAUAAUGUUACAUUUGUCACAUAAAAUAUAUACAUUCUACAUAUCCCCAGAUAGCUUAGAUCUGAGCGCACAUUACUACCGAAUGGCGCUCAGAUCACAUACAUACAG